rnacentral:rRNA from 1 species
AUGGCGUGCUACGCCGCUCUCCUGCACCAGCCGCCCGCCUCGCCGUCCCCGUGCACCUCAGGCCGCGCCGGCUCCUGCCGCGUCCGGCCGCCUCCGCUCCUCCAGCGCCGAGCCCCUCCCCUGUCCGCGCGCGCUCGGAUCUCCCCGCGCUGCUCCUACGCCGCAGCCGGAGGGAGCGCCGGAGCGGGCGCCGGGGAGCAGCCCGCGGCGGCGCUCCGGAGAGUGCUGGAGACGCCGGGCGCCCACCAGGCGCCCGCUUGCUACGAUGCGCUCAGCGCCCGCCUAGUCGAGCGCGCCGGGUUCAGGGCCUGCUUCACGAGCGGCUUCUCAAUAUCUGCUGCAAGGCUUGGAUUGCCAGAUGUUGGUCUGAUCUCCUAUGGCGAAAUGAUAGAUCAAGGGCGUUUAAUCACUGAAGCAGUGUCGAUACCUGUAAUUGGUGAUGCUGAUAAUGGUUAUGGAAACUGUAUGAAUGUCAAGAGGACAGUGAAAGGAUUUAUCAAUGCUGGUUUUGCUGGAAUUAUUCUUGAAGAUCAGGUGUCACCAAAAGCAUGUGGACAUACACAAGGAAGGAAAGUUGUCUCGAGAGAGGAAGCGAUUAUGCACAUAAAAGCUGCUGUAGAUGCCAGGAAGGAGAGUGGCUCUGACAUUGUUAUUGUGGCAAGGACAGAUUCUCGUCAAGCUUUGUCUCUUGAUGAAGCGUUAUGGAGAGCACGAGCUUUUGCUGAUGCUGGAGCAGAUGUUCUAUUCAUUGAUGCCCUUGCCUCAAGGGAAGAGAUGAUGGCGUUUUGUGCAGUUUCACCUGGAGUUCCAAAAAUGGCCAACAUGUUAGAAGGUGGUGGUAAAACUCCUAUACUGAGCCCUCUUGAACUUGAAGAAAUUGGUUACAAAAUUAUAGCCUACCCAUUAUCUCUAAUUGGGGUAUCAAUGCGUGCAAUGGAGGAUGUUCUUGUUGCUAUAAAAGGUGGCCGCAUACCUCCUCCAAGUAGCUUGCCAUCAUUUGAGGAGAUCAAGGAUACACUAGGGUUUAACCGCUAUUAUGAAGAGGAAAAGCGAUACGUUGCGUCACCAGCUCAAUCAUCCUUUGGGAGUGGUAAUUAUGAUUAUACAACUGAAGCAAGCAGUUCAGGAGACACCAAGUCGAGGACUGAGAAAUCACAAGAACCUAUUAUUGACAUACUGCCACAGCUCUAUGAUCCUGGUUCCGCUGGAGGCAGAGGUCCUUCAAGUGGGAUGUGGUCCCGCACACUUCGAUUAAAGAUUACAGGAAGAGAUGGGGUCCAGAAAAUUGAUGCCAGGAUACCUGCUGGAUUCUUAGAAGGGAUGACAAAAGUUAUACCAGGCCUGGCUGGAACUAAUAUCAUGGAAAGGCUUCGGAACGCGCCUAUGGAUUCAGACAACCCCCAGAACGGGCAGAUACUGCUUGAUUUUGAGGACGGCAUGGGAGAUAGGAUCCAGGUGUUCAUCGCGUGA